UUUCAUUUCACUAGUAAACCACUAAACCCUAGUCUCUAACAUCAUUUGACUUAGGGUUUUCAUUUCCUCUUCUCCCACAAACUAAGUCACAACAAUUUUCAUUUAUUCUUCUCCCACAAAGGCACAAACCAGCGGCUCUGCCCCCACAAACUAGCGGCGAAGCUCUCACAUUCUUAAGAUGGCGGAUGAAACUAGAUUAAGUUUGGCCGGUUCAACUGAUAGCGUACCUGAUAGCGUACCUAAUAUAGAUGAUAGCAAUGACAUCUCACUUGACACCGAGCCCCAGAUUUUGAUCAUUCAGAGGCUCUACGCAAAGGGAAGGCAUUAGUUUGAUUGUUCGUGGCACCCGCUCGACAUUGAGAGUACGAUCUAGGCUCCAGUUCUACGCCCCGUGGUUGAUACGCGAGGGCUAUAUCUUUCGGUCAUUCAGGGUGAGCUACUUGGUCAUCCGUGGCCCCUGAAGGACCCUCUUAUUUAAUUCUCUUUUUUUCUUCGACAGACAGUAUGUAGCCUUCGGGUAUUUUUAGACUUCUAUUCCAGACUAUGUUUAGCGCUCUUGUACCCUUUGACCAGAUUUUGGGGUUGUCGUGACAUUUCUAGUUAUGAUUAGUAUUUAAGACUUGAUAA